rnacentral:lncRNA from 1 species
AUGAUGAUUUGUUUUCCUAACUUCUGCCACAGGUGUGUAACGGUACUGUGCUCUUCCACUGUGUGUUCCAAACCUGCUGGCGCCAUGGACCCUUCAGAUUCAACAAAAGUCCUGAAUGAUGACAUCCCUACUGUGGUAGUUGUCAGUAGUAUCAUUACUCUGCUGGCUCUGGUGACCACAACCCUUUGGUUGGGCAGGCAGCUGGUGAGGGCCUACGGAAGAGCCCGGCAAACUGAGAAGACCGAGAAUGAAACUAUCGAGCCUCUGUCAGAAACGUCUUCUAAAAGCACGCCAGUAAAAGAGGAAGAAACCAACCCUGAGGAAGAUGUGGCAGAGAAUGCAGCUGAUGGGGAAACUGACAGUUGAAAUGGUCACAUGGUUCUCAAUGCAGAACUACCACUGUUCCCCCUUCAGUGAUUUAUUGACAUUUAGCUACACAAGCCUACAGGCCUGAGGAAUUUGCUGUUUGACAUCUGUGUUCAAGAUGAUAUGGGAAAUGCCAAUGCCUGGUUAUGUUUUUAGAGUUUUCACUCAAAUGUUUUGUAAUAAUACUGCUGUAACAAAAACAAAUAAAGAUAUUGAUUUUACACUAUGCA